ACUCCUGCGGGAGGCAGCAGUGGGGAAUUUUGGACAAUGGGCGAAAGCCUGAUCCAGCAAUGCCGCGUGUGUGAAGAAGGCCUUCGGGUUGUAAAGCACUUUUGUCCGGAAAGAAAUCCUUGGCUCUAAUACAGUCGGGGGAUGACGGUACCGGAAGAAUAAGCACCGGCUAACUACGUGCCAGCAGCCGCGGUAAUACGUAGGGUGCGAGCGUUAAUCGGAAUUACUGGGCGUAAAGCGUGCGCAGGCGGUUUGCUAAGACCGAUGUGAAAUCCCCGGGCUCAACCUGGGAACUGCAUUGGUGACUGGCAGGCUAGAGUAUGGCAGAGGGGGGUAAAAUUCCACGUGUAGCAGUGAAAUGCGUAGAGAGGUGGAGGAAUACAGAUGGCGAAGGCAGCCCCCUGGGCCAAUACUGACGCUCAUGCACGAAAGCGUGGGGAGCAAACAGGAUUAGAUACCCUAGUAGUCCCAUGAU
rnacentral:rRNA from 1 species